UACAGAGGUGGCAAGCGUUGUUCGGAAUUACUGGGCGUAAAGGGCUCGUAGGUGGCCAACUAAGUCAGACGUGAAAUCCCUCGGCUUAACCGGGGAACUGCGUCUGAUACUGGAUGGCUAGAGAUUGGGAGAGGGAUGCGGAAUUCCAGGUGUAGCGGUGAAAUGCGUAGAUAUCUGGAGGAACACCGGUGGCGAAGGCGGCAUCCUGGACCAACACUGACGCUGAGGAGCGAAAGCCGGGGGAGCAAACGGG
rnacentral:rRNA from 1 species